UGGCGCACGGGUGAGUAACACGUGAAUUAUCUACCUCCCGAGUGGGGAAUAACUGAGAGAAAUCUUAGCUAAUACCGCAUAACACUUACGAGUCAAAGCAGCAAUGCGCUUGGAGAGGAGUUCGCGGCCGAUUAGUUAGUUGGCGGGGUAAUGGCCCACCAAGACGAUGAUCGGUAUCCGGCCUGAGGGGGCGCACGGACACACUGGAACUGAAACACGGUCCAG
rnacentral:rRNA from 1 species